rnacentral:rRNA from 1 species
UACGUAGGGUGCGAGCGUUGUCCGGAAUUAUUGGGCGUAAAGGGCUCGUAGGCGGUUUGUCGCGUCGGGAGUGAAAACGCCGUGCUUAACACGGCGCUUGCUUUCGAUACGGGCAGACUAGAGGUAUGCAGGGGAGAACGGAAUUCCUGGUGUAGCGGUGAAAUGCGUAGAGAUCCGGAGGAACCCCAGAGGCGAAGGCGGCGUCCUGGCUCGCAUCUGACGCUCAGACACGACAGCAUGGGGAGCGAACGGG